AUACUUACCUGGCAGAUAGCAUGAUUGAGAAGACGUUUUCAGGGUGGGAGCUCAUCACUGUACUUGGGAUGUAUUGGCACCUUUGGCUUCCCUAAAUGGGAGAAACCAACAGCAUAAUCUGUAGUGGUAGGAACUGUUCUUGUGGUCUGCUCUGU
rnacentral:snRNA from 1 species